GUCUACGGCCAUGCCACCCUGAACAAGCCUAAUGUCUGAUCCCAGAAGCUAAGCAGGGUCAGGCCUGGUUAGUACUUGGAUGGGAGACCACCUAAGAAGACUAGAUGCUGUAGGCA
ensembl:rRNA 5S_rRNA 5S ribosomal RNA